AGCGAACGCUGGCGGCAGGCCUAACACAUGCAAGUCGAACGAAGUCUUCGGACUUAGUGGCGGACGGGUGAGUAACACGUGGGAACGUACCUUUUGGUUCGGAACGACUCAGGGAAACUUGAGCUAGUACCGGAUUAGCCCUUAGGGGGAAAGAUUUAUCGCCGAAAGAGCGGCCCGCGUUAGAUUAGCUAGUUGGUGAGGUAAAGGCUCACCAAGGCUACGAUCUAUAGCUGGUCUGAGAGGAUGAUCAGCCACACUGGGACUGAGACACGGCCCAGACUCCUACGGGAGGCAGCAGUGGGGAAUCUUGCGCAAUGGGCGAAAGCCUGACGCAGCCAUGCCGCGUGAAUGAUGAAGGUCUUAGGAUUGUAAAAUUCUUUUACCAGGGACGAUAAUGACGGUACCUGGAGAAAAAGCCCCGGCUAACUUCGUGCCAGCCGCCGCGGUAACAC
rnacentral:rRNA from 1 species